GCUGCGUGCGUACCAUGCAGUCGACGGUGAACACGGAGCUUGCUCUGUGGGAUCAGUGGCGAACGGGUGAGUAACACGUGAGCAACCUGCCCCUGACUCUGGGAUAAGCGCUGGAAACGGCGUCUAAUACUGGAUAUGUGACGUGACCGCAUGGUCUGCGUCUGGAAAGAAUUUCGGUUGGGGAUGGGCUCGCGGCCUAUCAGCUUGUUGGUGAGGUAAUGGCUCACCAAGGCGUCGACGGGUAGCCGGCCUGAGAGGGUGACCGGCCACACUAGGACUGAGACACGGCCCAGACUCCUACGGGAGGCAGCAGUGGGGAAUAUUGCACAAUGGGCGCAAGCCUGAUGCAGCAACGCCGCGUGAGGGACGACGGCCUUCGGGUUGUAAACCUCUUUUAGCAGGGAAGAAGCGAAAGUGACGGUACCUGCAGAAAAAGCGCCGGCUAACUACGUGCCAGCAGCCGCGGUAAUACGUAGGGCGCAAGCGUUAUCCGGAAUUAUUGGGCGUAAAGAGCUCGUAGGCGGUUUGCCGCGUCUGCUGUGAAAUCCGGAGGCUCAACCUCCGGCCUGCAGUGGGUACGGGCAGACUAGAGUGCGGUAGGGGAGAUUGGAAUUCCUGGUGUAGCGGUGGAAUGCGCAGAUAUCAGGAGGAACACCGAUGGCGAAGGCAGAUCUCUGGGCCGUAACUGACGCUGAGGAGCGAAAGGGUGGGGAGCAAACAGGCUUAGAUACCCUGGUAGUCCACCCCGUAAACGUUGGGAACUAGUUGUGGGGUCCAUUCCACGGAUUCCGUGACGCAGCUAACGCUUUAAGUUCCCCGCCUGGGGAGUACGGCCGCAAGCCUAAAACUCAAAGGAAUUGACGGGGACCCGCACAAGCGGCGGAGCAUGCGGAUUAAUUCGAUGCAACGCGAAGAACCUUACCAAGGCUUGACAUAUACGAGAACGGGCCAGAAAUGGUCAACUCU
rnacentral:rRNA from 1 species